CAGCUCUCCGAGUGGUAGGGACGAUUAUUGGGCUUAAAGCGUCCGUAGCCGGCUUAGCAAGUCUCCUGUUAAAUUCAGCGACCUAAUCGUUGAGCCGCGGGAGAUACUACUAGGCUAGGAGGCGGGAGAGGCCGACGGUAUUCUCGGGGUAGGGGUGAAAUCCUAUAAUCCCGGGAGGACCACCAGUGGCGAAGGCUGUCGGCUAGAACGCGCUCGACGGUGAGGGACGAAAGCUGGGGGAGCGAACCGGAUUAGAUACCCGGGGUAGUCCCAGCCGUAAACGAUGCGGGCUAGGUGUUGGGGUGGCUACGAGCCCACUUCAGUGCCGCAGGGAAGCCAUUAAGCCCGCCGCCUGGGGAGUACGGCCGCAAGGCUG
rnacentral:rRNA from 1 species